rnacentral:rRNA from 1 species
CUAUGCGCCUUGCCAGCCCGCUCAGGUGUGCCAGCAGCCGCGGUAAUACGUAGGUGGCAAGCGUUGUCCGGAUUUACUGGGUGUAAAGGGCGUGUAGCCGGGCUGACAAGUCAGAUGUGAAAUCCGGGGGCUCAACCCCCGAACUGCAUUUGAAACUGUUGGUCUUGAGUAUCGGAGAGGCAGGCGGAAUUCCUAGUGUAGCGGUGAAAUGCGUAGAUAUUAGGAGGAACACCAGUGGCGAAGGCGGCCUGCUGGACUGCAACUGACGUUGAGGCUCGAAGGCGUGGGGAGCAAACAGG